rnacentral:rRNA from 1 species
CUACGGGCUGCUGCAGUGGGGAAUAUUGCACAAUGGGCGCAAGCCUGAUGCAGCCAUGCCGCGUGUAUGAAGAAGGCCUUCGGGUUGUAAAGUACUUUCAGCGGGGAGGAAGGGAGUAAAGUUAAUACCUUUGCUCAUUGACGUUACCCGCAGAAGAAGCACCGGCUAACUCCGUGCCAGCAGCCGCGGUAAUAUCGGAGGGUGCAAGCGUUAAUCGGAAUUACUGGGCGUAAAGCGCACGCAGGCGGUUUGUUAAGUCAGAUGUGAAAUCCCCGGGCUCAACCUGGGAACUGCAUCUGAUACUGGCAAGCUUGAGUCUCGUAGAGGGGGGUAGAAUUCCAGGUGUAGCGGUGAAAUGCGUAGAGAUCUGGAGGAAUACCGGUGGCGAAGGCGGCCCCCUGGACGAAGACUGACGCUCAGGUGCGAAAGCGUGGGGAGCAAACAGGAUUAGAUACCCGCGUAGUC